GGCGGACCGCGAGGCGCGCUUGGCGCGCCCGUUCGAGUGGCGGCGGCCGCGGGGCUGGGACCGACGGUGCCCGGGGCUCUCCGCGGCGGGCGGGGGCAGCCGAGCCGUGUGAGGGGCUGGCGCUGUGGUGCCUGCACGGGCCCCGUCCCUCGUCCUGCCCCGCCGCCGGGCUGUUAGGCAGAGCCUGGGGUCGGUCAGCGAGGAGCUGACUCCCCGCAGCGUGAGUUGGCGCACAGCCGGUGACCUCGGUAUAUGCAUGGGCCACAUGAGCUAAUGUACCAAACAGGUGAAUGUGCUUGAGGGGUAGAAAAGAAUGAAGAUACCCAAAAAGAAUGACCAAAAGUCAAUACUGUCUUUGAUGCUAUGACCAGUUUCUGGAGAAGGAAGCCAUAUCUAUUUCCUAGAGAAGAAAUGUUCAUGUGUCCGUGGAAGGAAGAGAUGAUUAAAGCUGCAGUACAGGAGACUGUCUUCCCUUAGAAAGUGAGCUGGGAGGAGAAAGUCAAUACUAAGGAAUCUUCUGAAUACUGAAGGAGUACGUUGCCAGGGUAACAGAGUGUAAGCAGGAGAACAGCACCUUGCAGAUCACAAAGGCAAAUCUGCAGAAAGAAAUUUCAAGCACAACAGUAAGAAAACACUUGGAGCUGAAGCUGACCAUGCAAGAGAACAGCUGCAUGCAAGACAGGACAACAGUGUUCUUAGCAAAUUGGGCAUGAGUCCUAUAACUUCAUAUAUUUUCUUAUAUCUCCAGGUUCAGAUUGCUUUCAGUCCUAUGGAAGCAUUCAUAAUAAGAUGCUUGGACUCUUGUUAACACUAAUGUCUGUUUAAGCAUAUGAACAAACAAGUUUUAAAAUGUAGAAAGUCAAAAGGAUUAUUAUCUGUUCUUUGUGGAAAUUGAUGGGGAAGCCCAAGGCAAGAUGGUAGAAUCUGCACUUGUAGGUGGGACAAUAGUUAUUCACUGUCUCAACAUAAAAGGGUUUAUCUUUGCACUGAUUUAUUUUAUUUUGCUUUCUUUAGAAAUGGUAAGAUAAAAUUUUGGUAAGAAAUUGAAGCCCAGCUUCAAUUCCCUUCGAAACCCAUGCUAUUUCUAGCACUAAAUCUGGGUAAUUUACUUUCCCCUUCCUGCUAGUUUGUAUCCUGCUGCCUUUUGAAAUGGAAACUCUUCUGACCCUAUAACCCCUGUGUUACUCUGAAUAAAACUCUUUUUAAUUGUGUUUUGAAGGAGCAUGCAGAGAGCUCCCACACUACUAAUCAGCUUUGCUGGUUUGGAUAUGUAUCUCCAAGAUUCAUGUUGGCAGAAUAACUUGAUAUAAUUGCAGGACUGCAUCACAGAUUUAAUGCUUAAGAAAUUUAAAGGUACAGGUCCUCAUUUCUAUCUGUCUAUUGUUACACCAUGAGAAUAGCUCCUGUGUACUCGUCUACCAGGUGUAUUGCAGGAGGACCUGAGCAAGCAUGCAUGCUGUUUAAGGUGAUUGAAAGCCACACAGUGGUAUUAUUGGAGUGUUCAACCUGUACUAAUAUACUCUUCUGCUUGACAGAGUUUAUUUGGGCAUAGCAUUAGCACAGUGACACAGUGUUUAGAUGAGAUCUUUCAUACCUUUUUUCUUGCAAUGUAUGAUGUGGAAAUGCAGGUGAUCCUUAUUGACUGGUAUCUUUUUCACUGAUUUAAAAACAAAUGAAUGUUCUAGAUAGAAUCUAAAUUUUGUACUGGUCAGAAGUGAGUCUGGCUCGUUUGAAUGAGUGUUUUUAGAGUAGUCCUGUCUUUUAGCUGUUUGGGAGCUUAGUAUAGAGUUUUAUAUUAGGAAGACAGCAGUGAAUCAAUUUACAUUUAUGCAUCACAGGAGCUAUCACUUCAGCAGAUACUUAUACACUUUAGACCUGUUCCUUACAUUGUUUGCCUUCUCAUGUUACUCAGAAAGCAUAAACGUUGCUUUAGUUUCUUUACAUUUAGUAUAAAUGCAUUUAAUAUUGAGACUUGUCCCAGCUGGAACCUGCAGGCAGUCAGUACACAGAGUUGCUUUCAAUUUGCAGACAUUUUUUCGUAGCUCUGAUAAUGUGCCUCUGUUUGGCCUUCAGCAUUCCAAAAGUAGGAAUGCCACUUAACCUGAGUCCUGGCUCCCUGUUACUGUUUGAUCAGUAACAGUAAUGCAGUAACUGCCUCAGACAAAUGACUAUACUAAGAACACUCCCAAUUGCCCUGUAAUAAAACCACUAUCCUCCCUGAAAGCGAAGAUGAGGAUAGAAAGGGCAAGUAUGAUUGGAAGGUCAACAAGUUUGAGCACUGACAGAAUGAAAGAAACAAAUUAUAACACCGAGGACAUGUUGCUGAAAAUGCCCUCCGUCUAAUUCUUGGCUUAACUAGAGCCAAGGUGUGCUAGCUUAAGUCUCUCAGCUGUCCUUGUUCCACAGAAGAGGAUACAGAAUCUUAGCAUCCUCUCAGCCUCUGGGUGGUUGAUUAUUUGUGUUUUAAAUUUCAGUCCUUGAGACCAUGCACAGAAAUGUUAGAAGCUAAUGAGUAUCACAGAGCAUGCCACUCUGUGUGAAAGUUAAACUCAGUCCUCUGUGCCACCAAUGUUUUUGAUGACAUUUGGUCUCAGACUCUGCUUGCUGGCCUAGAACGCCUGGUAUAGAUCCCAUUGUGUGCUGAUUUAUCAAGUUUUUGAGGGCAUGUGGCUAAUGAUAGACUUGCUUCAGAAUUUGUCUUUUCAUAAGGUACAAGGAAAUACUUUGUCAGCACUCACUUAAAUGAGGUAGGAAAAUAAAAGCAUGUUACAACUUACGUGUUCUUUAAUCUUUCCUGUUUCUCCCAAAGGGGACAUUGGCAGAGUUGGCUGCAGUGUCUUGUCCCGCUGAUACCAUAAGCGGGAGCAAAAGAAGGCAACUUGUGGGAAUUCUAUUUUAUUUGUUUUGGCUAAACCCUUUACUCCCUGUGGUAAAGUAAGUAUAAGAGCAAACUUUGGGGAGCCUUCACCAUCCUACAUUUUUGCUGACCCUAAGCUUUUUUAAGUCAUGAAUUAUUUUGAAAAGGCUGCUUGCCUUUUGGCUUUGAAAGCAUUAAGAUUCUGAUAUAUUUAGCUGUGUUUUAUCUUCUAUUGUAAACCUUGAAAUCUAUGUGCCUACACAACAGUCUUGCAUUUCCUGUAUGUUUCCAGGACCUGAAAUUUGAGAAAACACUUUUGGGCAGCUUUGAAGAAGCCUUAUGCAGUGACAAGUGUGCACCUGAGGAGCAGAGGGAGGGAGUUUCUUUUGGGAAGUGGGGGAUGGAGAAGAGGCAUCAUGCAAAGAAGAUUUAAAAGAACCAAUGUGCUGCCUUGGCUUGCCUCUCCUCUGUGUUGCCAGAGCCUGUGCCUGCCUGCUUCAGGCCUCAGGGGCUGGUGCUGCUGCCUUGCGCAUCCUGCACGAGUGCCAUGGCUGUCAGUGAGCUGGCUAUCCUGAACAAGCUUCUUGCAGUCUGCUUUAAUGCCAGCCACAUCAUUUCUUGCCCUUGCCUGGCUCAGCGCCCGGUGCCAACAGAACACCUUGCAGGAUCCUCAGCAACGCAGACAACGUAAGUAGCCAGAUGUCCCUUGACGCCCUCUUCCAAAAGCCUCAAGCCCUCCGGACCCUGCAGAGUGUGUGUGGCUCUUUCCCUCACUCACCCCUCCGGAGUGCCACCUGGGUUUCACAAGUAGCACCUUCCAAAUCUCUCUGUCUUCAAGUUUGUGCAUGUCUGUGUGGCAUCCCUCCUCCUCCUUCACUCCCAUAGUGGAUCUUGCAAAGGGCUUCAGAUCGGCCCCAUUCAUCUCCCUGGUGAUAGCAGUGAAUGUAGAUAAAUCUCUGACUGCCUGCUUGCUGCUGGAGUAUGAUUUUUAUUUUGUCUUCUGUGUAUACCUAGGUCAAAAAGUGGGAUGUAUACUUACACUGUGUAAGUAAGUGCAUGUGUGUGUGUGUGUGUGUGUGUGUGUCUAAAUGUGUCUCACCCAAGCACACAAACAUACAUCUCUCUGCGUGUGUAUAUGUAUAUUACAUGCGUGCACACAAAUAUAUAUAUCCACACACGUGUAUACUCAGAGGUAUACACACAUAUCUAGCGCACACACACUCGCACAUCUAAUCUGCAAUCAUCUGAGGCAUUGUGUGCAUAUGUGUAUGUGUCCAUACGCACACUUCUGUGUGUGCGUAUGUGCAUGCACAGGCAUCUCUCGCUCCAUCUAUAAACAUUCCCUCUCCUCCCAGCAGAGGCUGUAUGCAGCUGUGAUCCUGCCCUAUAAGAGCGGUAUUCCUUCCUUCCUUCGGCAUGCUAUUUGGAGACCUUCAUGCUCCUUUCUCGGAGUCUCUCCCGAGCUGCAGAAUUGGCAUCUUUCCCUGAGGUUGUCCGAAUGGCAAAUGGCAUCAUCUGUAGCCUGCAUUCUUACAGCUUCUUAUGGCAUUUCUCUCUCGAUGUCGGCUACUCCCUUUUGUUUGUUGUUGUUGACUGGGCUGGGUGUGGUUGUUGGUUUUUUUUUUUGGAGUUAAUUGUAAAUGAACCUGAAUGGCAAACACGCCAACAGCUUGCGAAAAAAGAAAAAAGAAAAAAAAAGAAAGCCCCACACAAAUGCCUUCUGCUGCGACAGAUGCCCAUGUUGCCCCUGGCAUGGAGAACGGGCACAAGGGGUUUGUUGUUGAGGUUUUUUUCUUUUGCUGUUUUUAUUGUUCGCGUUUCCUUUUUCCCUUUAUUUUUAAAGACUCCAAGAUGCCGGCCUCAGCUUGGAACAGAACGGUGUCAUGGCGGAGACGACGGCCUUUGUCUCACAGGGUGUGAAAGCAUCCGUUGUGCUGGCUCCACUGCGGCAGAAUGACGUUUAAAGGGGGGAAAAAGUGCUGGAAGUCAGGGUCGUGCCGUGCUGGUGGGGGAGCCCCGCUCCCCAGUAGCUGCGCGCGUCCGAGGAAGGGCUUGCAGCGGAAGAACCUCGUCUGUAAUCCUGGCACUCGCGCCUUCGGUCGCUGCUCGCUGUUUGCUCCUGGGGGUCUGGAUAAUCUCCCUUAGCGUUACCGCACUGUCUGGCCUGCGCACAGGGCCCCCGUAACAUAUACCCGCCGCCGUUAUCACACGGAACUGUGGCGUUGCCACUGAAUGGAUGGCACUGUGCCAACUCUUCUGCCAUCCGCCCUUGCAGCUUUUUUUUCCUCCCUCCUCCCUCCCUCUCUCCCCUCCUCCUCCUCCUCCCGUCGACUUGACGUUAAUUAACACACGGGUUAAUUGAUUUUAAAAGCUGAAGAAUUACAGUUAACUUUUCCCACAGGGUACAGCCGCCAGCCGCCUGGCACGGCUCUGCUGCCCGUGCCGGUGCAGGGGGGCAGGGAAGAGCCCGCAGCAAAACCACAGCGGGCUGAGGGAGGCUGCCUGCCCGCGGCGGAGGGAGCUGGCACGCACCCGCCUCGUCCUUCCCAAUAUGUCACCAUCAUGGUUUGUGAUAAACAAUCAAAACAAUCCCUCCCCUCUGCACUCCCGCCACCCUCCCGGUAGGAACGCAGGCUCUGCCCAAGUCAAAGCAGCAAGGCUUUCCCCCCAAAGGCUCGCGGUAACACGCCAGCGGCCAGCCCUGGCUGGAUUUCGCACCGCAGGGCUCCCCGCCCCAAGCAACCUGGAAAUGGCGAGGUGGGGAGUUUGAGGACUGCUGUCUUUUCUCCAUUUAUCCUGUUUUCCCAGGCGUUUUUUUGUUUCCUUAAUUGGCUCAGAUAUGUCGCUUGGGGUGAGGAAUCUCAACCAGGGGAAAGUUAGUUCAUUGUAAUUACAAGAGAAAUAAACCAUGUGAGGGCUUUGUUUUUUUGCAUUCGCUCUCCCUCGCCCCAAUCUCUGCUGCAAGUGAGGGUGAAUGACAGUGCAGUUGGGAGGAGACGUGGCAGUGCCGGGAACUUGCCGCUUUCACCUUCUUGCGCUUUCAUUUUAUUUCAUUUUGUUUUUAAAAGCAUGAAGCAAGUGAAGCGACAAGAGGAAUCCAUUAUGCAAAUCAGGUCACAUUUGCAUAAUGCCUCAUGACUGGGAUAUGCAAAUGAGUUGUAUAAUUUAUGAGUACCAGUGUCUCUCUAAAAGUGUUUCCCAGAAUUUAUAAAAAGUGAGAUGUGGGGAGGGCAGCUGGGCUCACUGCCCUGCCAGGAGGGCUCUGUGCUUUCUUUUCAAAGUCUUCCUUCAGACCAGCAGCUGAAAUGCUCAUUAAUGAGAAACAAGCCCCCCCUUUCCAUGCAUUUCCCCUCAUCUUGUUUUCUGUUUCUUGCCCUGCCAAGCCCCCACCUGCUCAACUCCGAACUUCUCCAGAAGGCGACCGACUAGUGCACCAGAGCUGGGACUCCUCUGCAGCCAGGCAGCCCUGUGCAGGCUAGCUCGGUCCGUGAUUCACUCUGGAUGGCUCUGUGGCUGCUACCAGCAGGAGAGUGUGCCUUUCAGGCAUGCUAGCUCUGUGGGCACAGCACGCACAGGGAGCAGUGCGUGGACGCCUGCCUCUGACGUGCAUGGCGGGAUUGCUGCUCAUCCAAAACGCGCCGCAACUCAUGCCUUGAGUUGGAGACCUGUGCCUGACCUUCCAAAGAGCAGCAAGGUCAGUGCAGGGGUGGCAAUGCCCAUGGGAGAGACCUCAGGCUUCCUGCAUAGAGCAGGCAGCAUCCAGUUUCAGCAAUGAAAAGGUCUCUGGAAUACUCUGGAAAUGCAGGACAGGGGCCAAGAUUGUUUGUGGGUUUUUUUCAUUCUGCAUGGUUGAAGAUCUCAGGAGCACCAGGAGAAUGCAGUGCUUGGCCUCUGGUUUCCCACCUGCUGCAUUUGAAGGAUUCCCUGCAGCCCUCUCCUUGAGACUUACCUGGGCCUUUCUCUGCAAUUCUUGCUUUCUGUACCCUGAGGGAGCUGGAUGCUCAAGAGCAGAGGAUCUAUCAACUGCAGACCAAGCAGAGGGAGAGGCAGGCAGAACUGGAGCAGAAAUGCAGCCGGAUCCAGCAGCUCAGCCAGGACCUGGAGGCCAGCCACCAGCUGCAAGAGGAACCUCAGAAGCAGUGCAGUACUUCCCACUGGAGUACUUUCCAAUGGAGCCUGGAAAAGAACAGCACAGUGAACCAGCCCAAAGGUGAGAGAAGGGGAGGAGAGUUUGCAGGAUUUUGUCCUGAAGAGAAGGAGCCUGUGGAAGAUCAGUGCCAUCCCCAGAUCCAGGAGGCUGCUGCAUGGGUAUGGCUGCAGCACACUGCAGAGAUGGAGUGAACAUCACAUUAAAUAGAUCUAAAUCCAAACAGUAGAAGAGGGAAAGAAAGGGAAAAGAGCAAUGUAGACUGGAAUAAGGUGGCAUCGUUGCCACCAUCACUCUUACCAUCCUGGGACCCUGCAGAUCAAGCUGGACUUAGAGCAGAGCAUUACUGAGGAAAAUCACACCAGCUGCAUGUCAGAAACUCUUGGAAAGAGGAACAAAGCCAUCUGUUCUCCAUGUCCAUGAAGGCAUGCACAAGAAUUAAUGGGCGUAUCCUGCACCAAGAAAGAUUCAGGUUAGGAACAGCUUCUAAUGGGGAGGAGAGCAAAGCACAUGAACAGACUGCCAGGGGCCAGAGGAUUCUGCAUCACGAGAAAUCUUAAAGGACAGAAACAAAAGACAGGGCACUUGUAGGUUCCCAUCUCAGAACAGGAGGAUGGGCUAUCAUCCUCUCAAGGUUCAUGCCAGCCUUGCUCAUUUCCUAAAUCUAACCUUGCUCAAACCUUGAAACUCAACUCUGCCUUCUUCAGAGCCUCACUGUUCAGCACUCAUGUGGUAACAACAUACCAUUUAGCAGUGUGAUUCUUCUUUCUAAAAAAGUAACUGUGCUUGAAUCUUGGAUGGGUGCUCAUUUCCAACUGUGAUUCACCUGAUCUUCACAAGACUCAGCCCCAGCUUUGUGCUUCAGAUGGUGUCACAUCUCCAGCUGUGCUGUCCAUGUUCCUGUGCUGGGUAGCAGCGUUGGUUUGUGGGAGUACUCUUCCCUCUUUCUUGGCACCUCAUUGUUAUGCUACUGCAAGCUUUGUCACAGGAGACUUGCUGAGGAGUACACACUACUGUUUUCCCUGAAAAUUCAUCUUUAUGUGUCUUCCUCGUUAGUGAUGUUCCUUCAACACUCUUCUCAGGGAACAGGGUUCUCUUCUCCGUCCUGAGUAGGGGUUUGGGGGAUUCUGUAUGCAUGGAGUCUGUCCCCUUCCAGCCCUCUGGAAGGACGAGUAAUUAGAUCCACUCAAUUCCUCAUACAGGACUCUUAGCACUCACCUGAACGUGCUGGGCUGAUGACUCGGUGCUCUUUCACAUGUUCCAAAGCAGCGCACUGUCACUGUCUGGGACAUUCCUGGGUAAAGACGUGCUCUGCAGGGUGAGCAGAGGCCUCAGUGCAGCUGGCUGAGAACUGGUGCCAGAGUCCUGAAUGAAGCAGGUAAACAUCAGGCUUGCCUGCCAGAACCGCACAGUUGACGGUCUCUAAAUUGUUCUCUUCAGUGAUAUAUCCAGCAAUCUGCACUGCUUCAGCUGCACUGGCGGGUGCCUGGUUUGCUGAGUAGCACUCAGGAACCCGCGUGUGGGAAAAAAGCUGGAUGUUGCCCCUUUUACUACCUACAUAUCUGGUCACAAGUUACUCAGUAGUCAGAACAUGUGCUUUAACAUAUGCUGAAGAGAGCAAGCAGAGCCUGGAGGAUGUCAGUGGGUGAUGAAGGCUCUGAUACCAUCAUCUGUAUGACAUGUGCUGCUGUGCCUCGGGCUUUGGCCUGAGCACUGCAGUUCCACCCUUGGUGGUAAACAUAAGAGUAGAUGAAGCAGAGAUGGGAGUGUAGAUUUGCUAUUUGCUAUCAGAACUUUUGGAUUCAAUUUCCAUUCUCAGUAAAAUAGCUGUGUGCAGUUUCCUACAUGUGCUGCUUUGCAAGUAAGUUGUGCAGGACGUGGCUAUCAGUCAGAGACCACCUGGAGAGCAAGGUCAGCUUGAUGCUAUUUAGUUUUGCUGUGCAGUGGCUGGUCCAGGCAACAUGGAGGUGUGGGUCUGACUGAUGGAAAGGUCUCACCUCUGUUCCUUGGUAGCUGCAGGAGCCUACUGCCCUUUGCCUACCCAGUGUUUGAGUGCAGUCAUGGUACUUAAUAGCUGGAGAAGUAGAAUUGACUGGAUAUCAGCAGUUGACUUAUCUGCUUUCUUCUCAGUACCUAGCAAGGGUGCAAUUCUUAGUGAGAUGUUGCCUACCCACACAGCCUCACCCUGUCUAUGGAAUAGCAGCCAUGUUAGUACUUAGGAGCACCCACUUGGACCAUAGGUCCUCAGCAGGAUGGUGGAAUGAGCACACAUAUACCAUAUACCAGAACACAGGGCAGCUCACAUAGACGUAGACAUCCCAACACUGCUGGUGGCGUAAAGGGGCUAGACACAGACAGCCAAAAUAGCCAGUGGGAACUGUGAGUGACAUGGGAAGGUGAACUCUGUCAUCUGUGUAGACACUGGAGAAGAACCCCAACAGGUACCUGGGCCUAAGAGCCAGUUCUACAACACAGAUGUUAGAGGAAAUAAAGGAAAUGAUAAAGCAUUGACUAAAAUGGUCUGCAAGGCUGGUUUCUCUCUGUGUAGCCUCUGAAGGAGCAGUCUUUUGGGCUACGGAGAAAUGAGGUUAAUGCAGAGCCACAGCUGUUUGUAUAGCUGCAGUCUUUAAGAGAGACUUGGGAAAACUAGCUUGGAUACCAAUGAAUAUUUACAAUUACACUGUUCCAAAGCUGAAUCCAAUCACAUCACUGCAGUAUGCAGGCUUUGUGCAUCAAAAGAAAAUGAGAGGAAAGCAGGAAAGAUGGAGUUGCCUUUGGAGAGACUUAAGAGUGCAGAUUGCCCUGCUUGUGGCAGAACUAAAAUGCUUUAUUUCUGAUAGGAGCAAUUUAUUCUUCAGGCAUUUUGCUCAAUAUUAGAAAUUGCCUGGCUGUUUUUUGAAGUGAGUCUUCAGUAGGUGGUUUUUAAUUCAGAGUGAAAUAAAGGAAUGGAAAGUGUUGUAGUCCAUAAUUUUGACACUGUACUAACAAACUCCAGAAAUAGGGGAGGAUUUCCAAACUAGAGCAGAGACCUCUUCUGCUCACUGAGUUCUAGGUUACUAUGUGGAAGAGGCCUGGACAGAGCUGCCCUUGUUAAAAUCAUGCUUCUAAUAUGAUCUUUGACUGGUUACCAUUAAACAGGAUGAUCUAACAGGGAAAGGAAAGGGAAAUGCUGGAUGAACAUUCACUGCAGCUUAGUAUUGGCCUCUUCUUUUUUUUGCAGUGGAAGGUACACAAAAAGAAUGAUGUAGGGGAAUCACUGCGUGAUAAGAAUACGGAGGAUUUGUGACUGCUAGACCACUGCAGAGAGCUGUGUGCAGCAGAAUAGGAAGUGUGUGGCAAAGCAAAGGCACUUCAUGAGAUGACAAAAGGAAUAGUACCAAGCAGAUCACCUGCAAGAGCUGCUCUGGUGGCCUGCCCAUAUUGUGUGCUGAUCAACUCUUCUAUGUGGUGCCAAGGGAAAUUAUCUUAGAUUCUCAGUCUUGUAUUCCUGGUGUUGGCAGCUGGGAGAGCUGUAGGAAAGGGCUUUACAAAAUGAAGAGGCACCCAUCUGGAUGCUUUGAAAAAAUCUACGAUGUGCUCCAUCGGUUCCAUAUAUUGGGAUUUUUUAUGGAACUCUGACACGCUGGAGCAGUUGUGGAAGAAGGCAGGCAUGAGAAGGGACAAGAGUACAGAGCAGACUGGGGACAAUAUGUUUUACAUUACCAGAAAUUAUGCUUUUUAUUCAGACAUUGCAUGGCAUGCAUCAGUGUUGCCAAAACAUGGCUGCAACACUGAAUACUGCCUGCUGCUCUAAUGUACAAGGGUUGUGAAUAAUCUCUGGCUUGCUGUGGUACUACAGUACCAGAACACCAGUGUUCUUAAUUACAGAUAUUUAAGGUAUAUCCUUCCAUUCCACCAUGAAGACAUUCCCUAGCACCAUGGCUGCAUGACAGCAGGUGCUUUGAGAAAGUCAGUUUAGGAUUUACAGUACAAGAAUGUGCACUUACUCUGACAGAGUGUGUACUUACAAGCACACCUGACCUGGAAGAGUGACAUCUGAAGGGCUAGCCUUCUCCAUCCCCAAGGCCCCCGCAGGCAGCAUGCCUCCACCCCGAACAGAGGGCAGCAUGUUGCUGUUUUCAGACUGCUAAUCCCUUUGCAUGUUUUGAAGAUGAUGCUGUUUCCUAGUGCAUUUCAUCUUGUGGCUGCACAGAUCCCUUCUUCUGGAUGGCGAUCUUAAAGGCUGAUGAUGGGAAAUCCCAGGAAGCUGGUCUCUGAUCUAAGUCACACUGCUGGUGGAGGAAAGCACUCUGACACAUGCAGGCAUGGCACAGGGUGUUCCCUGCAGCUUGGCACAUACUGAAGUCGAUAGCCCUCAGCAGGAACUUGCAUUCAAUAUUAUACUGUCUAAGAGGCUUAAAAUCAACUGUGACAUUUCAGUAUAGCUACAAAAAUCUUGUUUUCAGUUUCUCCACUGGUAGCUUGCUUUAGAAUGAGACAGUGCAAUUUGGUAAUUGAUUCUUGGAAUCCAGCAAGUACAUAUGCACUGGGGUAUUUGGAAUCAUGUCCUGUAAUACGAAAAAGUCAUUCAUUUCAUUCAUUUGAAGGUCCCUUGUGGGCAUGGUAACUGCCCAGACAAAUUCCACAUGAAGAUGAGAAAUGUGACAGAAAUCAGGCAGAGGCCAGUUCUGUGUGCUGCAGAAACAACAAUGCUGUUUUGCACUGACCACGAAUCCACUUUGCUCCAUCUUGUUCUCUGCAGCUUAUUGUAGGUUCUUAUACCAGCUCCUGACAGAUACCAGUUGCUGCAGCAAAAAAACAGAACUCCAGAUGAUCAAAAGAGUAGCAUGCUUGCACACUUCUGGUAAACCCACAGCCUGCUGGAAAACUACCAAAUAGUUGCUGGUGUCAGAAGCAGGUAAGAGCUCAAAGCAGCAAAUGCUGCUGCAAAUCAGUCUAUGGGAGCCACCAGUGUUGGAGCUGGAAUGGCUGCGGGGAGCUACUGCAGUUUCCUCGUUGGUGCGUCUCUCUUUACACUGCAUGCCUCCUCACUAUUUUUAAGCAUCAUGCCUUGGUCUGACCUCCUCCAGAGGACAGAACUCAGAAGCCUGCUGACUGAGACAGCCUCAUUCAAUGCAGGUGAGUGGCUGCUGCGCAGCUCCAAUGCCUGCGGCAAAACAAGGUGCCUCUGAGUUCCACGCCUUCCCUCUGGGGAGCACCAGUAGACCAGCAUGGUCUCUCCUGCUUUAUGUCCCCCCAGGUACAUGCAGCUCAAUGUGAGGCUGCCUCUCUGUUAAGUUACAGACAGGACCUUGUGGUUCCAGACUCCACAGGCUGAGGUGGGCUGAGCGGAAGCCUGUGUAUCACAGACGUGGGAGCCGCUGACUUCCUGGCUGGAGGUCGCAGUGCCUUGCUUCCCUGAGACCCUCUGGAGUGGCUGAGCCCCCUGAGGCAGUUGCUGGGCAGCUUUGAAUGCUGCUGGGAGCCUUAGCGCUCAGCAGGCCAGGCCUGGGUGCCCGGUCCCAGGGCCUGCACCCACCACUUGUGCUGAGGGCAGAGGUAUAAUUGCUGUCGGCCCCAGCAUCAGACUCCCCAUGAGAACAAAGCACAGGAUUUAGUGCUGAAGUUGGCUGGCUGAUGCCACGGCAAAUUGUUUGCUGGGACAUACACGCUUCCACUGUCAUCGCAGCCAGCUCUGCCACUGCUAGGAGUGAGCUUUGUUUAAAAGCGGACUAGUCUGUGAAGGCUGACCUGUAUCCUGGCAUGGCAGCGCAGAGGUAGGGUCACCAGCACACCACUGCAAUAUUUUGGACUUUUUGGAUACAGGUCCUUAGAAACGGACUAGAAAUGGACUUAGAAAUGGACUAAGGUCCAUUGUCUUUUCAAGGCCAGGCUGGGUGGGACCAACCUUAUCUAGUGGGUGGCAUCCUUGUCCAUGGCAGGGGGAUUGGAGUUACAUGAUCUUUAAGGUCCCUUCCAACCCAAGCCAUUCUAUGAUUCUACAAAAUGGAGAAGAAACAUACUGAGACAGGUCAUACUGUCAGGGUCAUUCCUUGCAAAUGAUCCUGGAGCACUGAAAGGAAAUAAGAACAACUUACAACUUUGCAGUCAGCUGAAAGUCUGUCUAGCCUACUCUUGUCUCUGAUUGUGGUCAAGAGCUAUUAUCUUGGGCAGUGUAAGAAGAGGGCAUAGCUACUGCAGUACUGCUCUGCGAGCCUCCAACGAUCUGCAGCUCGGAGGCUUCAGAAGCAAAAAUGAGGUCUUGUAUUUAAUCGUUGUAAGUGGAUUUUUUUUUCUCUCAUGACAGUAUUUAAUCUCUUUUUGAAUGCAUAUGAACUUUGGAGACCCAUCGGAUCCUUUGCCAAGCAGUUUGACACAACAUAGGGCAUAUAAAAAUGCUAUUUGUUUUGUAGUUGUUACCUGCUAAUUUAUGAGGUGCUGCUGGUUCUUAUAUGGAAGGGACAAUAAGUACUCAUACUGCAGUCAACCUCUUUGUGCCAAACUUGAUUUUAUAAUCCUCUGUCAUACUUCCCUUCAGCCAUCUCUUCUCCAGGCUAAAGAGACUUUAUACUUUUUCCUCAUAUGGAAGAUAUUCUUUGUAUUUGAUCUCGCUUGUUGCUCUUCUCUGAAACCCUUCCAACUCUUAUUUUUCUUGAGAGGCAGACCAGAACUGCAUAUGGUAAUCACAAUGCAGUUUCCACUAUGGAUCUAUUCAGUGGCAUAACUAUGAUCUGCUCUCCAUUAUUUUCAUAAUAAUUCUUAACAGUAAGUUUGCCUUUGGAUUGCUCCUAGGCACUGAGCAAACAUUUCCAUAGAACCAUCUCUAUCUGUCUAUAUCUGCUUUUAUCUAGUGUAGUCCCAAGCCCUCACUCUUGAGGAAGAAGAGCUACAGCACCUGGAGCUGCAAGUGAAACCUUGUAAGAAAGAAAGUGCAAAUGCCCCAGAACUUUAGCAGGGUUAAGACCACCUGGCUGUGUCUCAUGUCUUCAAGACCAGGGACAGCUGCUAAACAUCUGAAAACCAAGAAAUUAUGAGUUAAGAUCAGUUAAGCCUCACAACAGUGCAGCCCUGUCCUUUUCCAGGCAUCUGCUCUCAAGUACCAGCACCACCUGAGAGGCCGUACAGCACUGUGGGUAGAGCACAGAAGCCUUCUCUUUGCUGAAACAAAGCUCACAUUCAGGUCAAGCAGAAGAGCUAGGAACUGCCCACAUUUGCCCUGCACUUGGACAGCAAGCGUCCCUAAACAAGCACCUGUUAAAUGUGGUCACCCUUUCACUCCUGUUGCAAGGAUUCCUUCUGAGAUAGCACCUUCAUUCCCCAUACCAAGUACAAAGGCCACUGUUACGCAGGCCACGAGACUGCUCAAAGCCCCACACGGCACAAAGGCUGGCCUGUGCACUUCAGCUGACGCAGACGGCAUGAUUCAGUGCUGAAGAGAGGUUGACUUAAUUGCUCAAGAGCUCAGCUUGUUGGCUGUCACCAACCUUUCACCAUUCAGCACAAGCACACCUAACCAAUGAAUGCAGAUAAAUGCUGAAGUCAAGUCACUAUCAAUGAACACAAAUAAUGGCAUGUUCUCUUAGUGCUUCUUCAUGUUUUCUUUCUGUGGAUUCACAGACUGAUCAGGAAGGGAUCAGGAGUCUGACCUUCUGUACGAGCAGUCAAGAAAAUUUCACCAUGUUACUGCUGCAUUCAAUAACUUGUUUGACAAAGGCAGCUUCAGAAGUGCAUUCAGCUGGACUUGAAGACAUGGAGAUGGUAAAUGCACUACUUCCUCCCUUGGCCAUCAAUCCCUUUGCAUCACUCUUACUGAAUUUUUGUCUCUGAUUAUUGCUGUGGCAAUAGGGCUAAAGAAAGUUUAUAAAACUGUAGUACGUUCUCAACUUUGUUUCUCCUGGUUUUGAUGUUUUAUCUUUUCUGUAUCUUAGAAUACUCAUUUCUUUUUUGGCCAGAAUGAAGGUUAACCAUAAGGAAAAGAAAGUCAUGAGGAUCCUCUUUCUGCCCGUUUCCGCAAUCCUAUACCCACCUUCCCCUCUUUUUGUUUCAGGUUCUCCCUGUGGUCCGCAACCACAAGAACCUUUUCUACUUACGCAGCUCCCUCUUUCUGUCUCUCCUCAACCCCAUUUUCCCCUUAUCUUUUCCUACCUGCCAUUGCCAUUGCUGCUGGUUCAGGAGGAAAUUGACAAAGCUGGGCAGGGGCAUUGGACUGCAAGAUAUCAAGAGGCCCCUGCCAACUGCAGUGAGUCUGCUUCUGUGACACUGGGCCUGUCCCCACCAGGGAACUGGAAAGACAGAGGCGGCAGAGGCCUGUGCACUCUCAGCGAAGCUCCCGGGCAGGAUCUGCUGCCUUGUGCCAGGGGUGAGUAGCAGUACCAGGUGUUUGGGCAAUAGGAACAUCCAUGGUUGGCCACGUGUGACUGGGAUGGGUGGGUGCCCCCCGUGCACCACCAGCUGCCCAGACAUCCCUCCCUGCCAGUUGUGCAGAGGAAGGCAAGGGGCCUGGAGGGACGAAGGAGGCACAGAGCGCUUCUGUCUGCUCCAGGAUUUGGCUUGGGCUCUUGGCAGGUACUGGAGAUGCAGCAGGCCAGGUUCCCACCUAUUUUUGCCACUGCAGCUGUUUCCUCCUAGUCUCUAUUUUUAUUUUUCCCUGCCCUGGAGGGGACCCUCCCAGGAGCUGCAAUGUUUUUUUUUAAUAAAUAUUUUUCAAGUAGCUGGCUGAGUCCCUGGAAAGGAUAAUGAGAUCAUUUUCAUUGUAGAAUGCAAAGCCAUGCAAGACUCUCCUGUUUGUUAUUUCUCCCCUGUAGACUCUGACCAUGCUGCCGAUAAUUUAUGUUUGUUGAUAUUCCUCACCAGCCAAACAUACAGCGUGUGCCCUAGACAGUACCCAAAUGCGAUUAGACCUGAGGUGCCAGUUUCCUACGAACACAGAGAAUUGGAAAUUAUCACUAGAAAUGCAGAGCAAUAACCUUUAAGGCUCAUUAGAAUUCUACAAGCGCAGCCCCCGUUCCUGUUUUCCCUUUCAUGAACCCAGCCGGGUGCUGCAGAGACUCCGCGUGCCGCCGGGCCAGGACCUCCUCCCCCCGCCGCCCGCCGGGCUCUGCGGCGCUUCCGCACCCCCGGGACGGGCCCGUCCCGGGCAUCCCGACGCGGCCUCGGGGCCCGAGCGUGU